AUUGAACGCUGGCGGCAGGCCUAACACAUGCAAGUCGAACGAGUGGCGGACGGGUGAGUAAUGUAUGGGGAUCUGCCUGAUGGAGGGGGAUAACUACUGGAAACGGUGGCUAAUACCGCAUACCAUCGGAUGUACCCAUAUGGGAUUAGCUAGUAGGUGGGGUAAAGGCUCACCUAGGCGACGAUCCCUAGCUGGUCUGAGAGGAUGACCAGCCACACUGGGACGGAGACACGGCCCAGACUCCGACGGGAGGCAGCAGUGGGGAAUAUUGCACAAUGGGCGCAAGCCUGAUGCAGCCAUGCCGCGUGUAUGAAGAAGGCCUUAGGGUUGUAAAGUACUUUCAGCGGGGAGGCGUUACCCGCAGAAGAAGCACCGGCUAACUCCGUGCCAGCCGCCGCGGUAAUUC
rnacentral:rRNA from 1 species